AGACCCGAAACCCGGUGAUCUAGCCAUGGGCAGGUUGAAGGUUGGGUAACACUAACUGGAGGACCGAACCGACUAAUGUUGAAAAAUUAGCGGAUGACCUGUGGCUGGGGGUGAAAGGCCAAUCAAACCGGGAGAUAGCUGGUUCUCCCCGAAAGCUAUUUAGGUAGCGCCUCGUGAAUUCAUCUCCGGGGGUAGAGCACUGUUUCGGCUAGGGGGCCAUCCCGGCUUACCAACCCGAUGCAAACUGCGAAUACCGGAGAAUGUUAUCACGGGAGACACACGGCGGGUGCUAACGUCCGUCGUGAAGAGGGAAACAACCCAGACCGCCAGCUAAGGUCCCAAAGUCAUGGUUAAGUGGGAAACGAUGUGGGAAGGCCCAGACAGCCAGGAUGUUGGCUUAGAAGCAGCCAUCAUUUAAAGAAAGCGUAAUAGCUCACUGGUCGAGUCGGCCUGCGCGGAAGAUGUAACGGGGCUAAACCAUGCACCGAAGCUGCGGCAGCGACACUAUGUGUUGUUGGGUAGGGGAGCGUUC
rnacentral:rRNA from 1 species